ensembl:misc_RNA Gm23781 predicted gene, 23781
GGACCUGAGGGAGAUGGAGCCAAAACAUUUGUCACUACAUUGCUAAGUAUGGUUGAUUCUGCUGAUCUGAGUGGCUAGAUGGCUGCAUGUUUCUCUAUCACCACUCCAUAUGCAUCUCUCUCAAAGCUGUGCCCUUGAUUAAAGAGAAUCACCUUCCCAGGAUGGAAAAUGACCAGUCUUUAAUCAAAGAUGUACCAAUAGCUGUGUUCCGUUCCUCUGCUGGAACCUCCAAAUUUGCCCUCAAAUUCAACAAACAAAAGUGGCAGGGAUUUCUCUACAAUAGCAUUCUUGCUUAGAAUAUGCACUAU